rnacentral:rRNA from 1 species
CCUGGCUCAGGAUGAACGCUAGCGACAGGCUUAACACAUGCAAGUCGAGGGGCAGCGGGGUGUAGCAAUACACCGCCGGCGACCGGCGCACGGGUGAGUAACGCGUAUGCAACUUGCCUAUCAGAGGGGGAUAACCCGGCGAAAGUCGGACUAAUACCGCAUGAAGCAGGGGUCCCGCAUGGGGAUAUUUGCUAAAGAUUCAUCGCUGAUAGAUAGGCAUGCGUUCCAUUAGGCAGUUGGCGGGGUAACGGCCCACCAAACCGACGAUGGAUAGGGGUUCUGAGAGGAAGGUCCCCCACAUUGGUACUGAGACACGGACCAAACUCCUACGGGAGGCAGCAGUGAGGAAUAUUGGUCAAUGGGCGUAAGCCUGAACCAGCCAAGUCGCGUGAGGGAUGAAGGUUCUAUGGAUCGUAAACCUCUUUUAUAAGGGAAUAAAGUGCGGGACGUGUCCCGUUUUGUAUGUACCUUAUGAAUAAGGAUCGGCUAACUCCGUGCCAGCAGCCGCGGUAAUACGGAGGAUCCGAGCGUUAUCCGGAUUUAUUGGGUUUAAAGGGUGCGUAGGCGGCCUUUUAAGUCAGCGGUGAAAGUCUGUGGCUCAACCAUAGAAUUGCCGUUGAAACUGGGGGGCUUGAGUAUGUUUGAGGCAGGCGGAAUGCGUGGUGUAGCGGUGAAAUGCUUAGAUAUCACGCAGAACCCCGAUUGCGAAGGCAGCCUGCCAAGCCAUGACUGACGCUGAUGCACGAAAGCGUGGGGAUCAAACAGGAUUAGAUACCCUGGUAGUCCACGCAGUAAACGAUGAUCACUAGCUGUUUGCGAUACAGUGUAAGCGGCACAGCGAAAGCGUUAAGUGAUCCACCUGGGGAGUACGCCGGCAACGGUGAAACUCAAAGGAAUUGACGGGGGCCCGCACAAGCGGAGGAACAUGUGGUUUAAUUCGAUGAUACGCGAGGAACCUUACCCGGGUUUGAACGCAUUCGGACCGAGGUGGAAACACCUUUUCUAGCAAUAGCCGUUUGCGAGGUGCUGCAUGGUUGUCGUCAGCUCGUGCCGUGAGGUGUCGGCUUAAGUGCCAUAACGAGCGCAACCCUUGCCACUAGUUACUAACAGGUAAAGCUGAGGACUCUGGUGGGACUGCCAGCGUAAGCUGCGAGGAAGGCGGGGAUGACGUCAAAUCAGCACGGCCCUUACAUCCGGGGCGACACACGUGUUACAAUGGCGUGGACAAAGGGAAGCCACCUGGCGACAGGGAGCGAAUCCCCAAACCACGUCUCAGUUCGGAUCGGAGUCUGCAACCCGACUCCGUGAAGCUGGAUUCGCUAGUAAUCGCGCAUCAGCCAUGGCGCGGUGAAUACGUUCCCGGGCCUUGUACACACCGCC